UGGUUAAAGAAAUUACAGCCACUUUGACCUGAGGCAUUCCCCAAGUAAAAUGGGUACUAAAAUGAAACGUCUUUCAGUCAGUACCCUGAAAUUUCGUGUGCCCAAGAUGUGUGAUCCAUCUUAUCAGAGGGCCUCCUACGUACUGGAUUUGAAUCACGACCUACCAGCAUCAUAGGACCACUCUCACUGCCUGCAUGACCUCCAGUGACUACCACAGAGACGUGGAAAGACAGGGCUUUUGGGUUGAGUAGUCAUGCACCAAUGAGCCCCAACAAGGCCAGUGAAGCUCAGAAGAUGGGUCCCAAUAUUUCCCAGCAGAAUUCCAAUUUACACAGGCCAAUUUAUAAAACUGCCCCAGAAGAUAAACUUCUAGGGAGGGGCCAUUGGAGCACACAGUUCAAAGAAGGCAGGCCAUGUGGCUGAGGCCAGAACAGUACCCUCAGGACCUGGGCCUCCUCUCCCAUAACCCAUCUUCCCUUGUAGGAAAAGGCUCUUAAGGUUGUGACACCUGCCAUUGACUACUUGGGCCUGGAACUGCUUUAACUAUGAUCUUCUAGACAGAAAAGUCCUGCCAGAGAGAGCCAAUCCUGAGCAGGACAAAUUAUACACCAAACACAAAGUCAUCGCCUUCAGCUUCUGAAUUACCCCAAGAGGGGCCACCAAGUCAAGACUGACUCCACCAGGGAUUUGAACCAGGAACCUUGCAGUUGCAAGCCCUGCACCUUAACCAACUGUGCAAAUAGACCACAGGUGUUAAGGAAGGGCAGAAAGCUUUCUUGAGCUGUAAUUUGAAUAGGAAUGCUGCACCCUGAGGCACUGUGGCCUGCCUCAAAGCCGGGUGGGGCUGACGGUCAUCAGCAGCUUCAGCUGCUUCCUUCCCUCAGAGUUGCCCCAGCUGAGGAAAAAAGCCCCUUGCUGAGUCAGUUGAAAAGCCUUGUUCACAGCUGCUGCUGGGCCCUCGUGAGUGCCCCCGUGGCUUUCAGUCGCCAUGUUGACGCUGCCAGAACCACUUGCACGCCUGGGCCACUUCCUGAGCUACUGCCCACACAGGGACCCGUUGCUGGCAGCAAACGCCCCGGGGAGCCUUUUGGCCCUGCGACCUGGGACUGGGGCAUGCCAGAGAGGCCGGCCAGAGCCCCCCGCAGGCUCCGGUUGUGCAUUGCUCCCCUCCGCUGUUUUCUCCAGCCUGGCUGCCCGCUGGGUUCCGCCCCUGGGGCUGGGCUGCCCCCGACCUGCAGGGAGAGAAAGCCCCAGGGGCAGCACUUGCCCUCUGCCCCGCAGGCUCCCUCAGGUUUUGCUCCUAGAGAUGAUAUCCGAAGGAUAGAGAAGGAGACGGAAAGCAGAGAGAGAGCUGGAAGACAGAGUCUCGCUCUUGUACCCCAGGCUGGAGUGCAAUGGCAUGAUCUUGGAUCACUGCAACCACCACUUCCAGGCUUCAAGCUAUUCUCCUGCCUCAGCCAGUGUAUUGAUUCUUGAAGGUAUUUUUUAAAUUUCUUAAUUUUAGUGCUACAAAAAAGUGUUUGGUUUGUAGUACAACUAAUAAGUUAAUAAGAGGUCAAGCUGGAAUUUGAACCUAGGUGGUCUUUUCUAAAUCCUGUAUUCUCUCUCAUAUAUGCUGACCCUCUAAAUAUCCAUUCCUUGAACCCGUCUUGGUUAUAUAUAUAUGUGCAUGUGUUUGUGUGUGCGUGUAAAUAUAUAUACACACACAGAAAUGCCAUGUACUGAGCCCUUGGGUGUGCAAGCACCAUGCCGGGUAUUUUCUACAUUAGAAUAUACGAAAGUACAUAAGGAAUGUGUGUUUAUUUGACCUGCAUUUAAUUGUACAAGAUUGUAAAGCUUUGUUUUCUUUUGUAAGAAGUCAUCAAUGAGUGAAUGGCAUUGUGUGUACACAAACUUUCAGCAGGGUGACAGAUGACAGUGAUUGACUAUGUGGGUGGGUAUUCCAAUGAAUGCUGAAAUGGGAAUGAUGCGUGCAUAAGGCGUGUGAGAGGGAAUGUGGUUGUCUUCGACCAAAGUCAAUUAGUCAAUUGGGUCUACAUUAAGGAUAACAGUGUGGCAGGAUGUGAGGGCACAGCAACUGGAGGCUUGGUUUCCAUUUGGAGGGUAGGGGGAUUCCAUCAGAGUAUAC
ensembl:lncRNA